AGGUAAAGACAUGAGUGAGCAGCGUCGCCUCUCUGUGCCAAGUAAUGUGACAUUUAAACCUCACUUACCCAACUCUUGUCUCGUUUUGUGACCAAGUUACAACUUCCACUUCAUCUCGGAUGUAAUCCUUGCGCACUUUACGCACGACACAUCCUAAGAAGCUGUAUUUACUUUGAUAGAAGAACUUUUUCAAUUGCUUUUAAACCGAAUUGAAGUCCCCGGUGUGGAUAACGUUACAAUGAGGCAAGUGUCUGAAAAGAAGGAUGCUACCAGUUUAGCUUAGCUGUUAGCAGUGAGCCACACACAAUUGUAAAAUAACAACUGAACAUACGUUACCAAGCGAGCUGGAGACAAAACAUGGGGAAAUAACCUCACCUUAUCGCUGGAACUCGGUGUAUCCCUUUAAAGGGUGAAGAAGAGGAUUGAACAGACUCUCCUCUCCUCCGUUUCACUACCAAGCAACUCAAGAGAAGUGACGUCAGCUCAGGGCUUCUACAAUGCAAACUUUUGUUUCUGCAGCCAGCAAGACAAGUGCACAAAACUGCCAUCAGGAUCAGGAGGAGUCAUGUAUGUGAUGAAGGAAAUGAAGGGUGCACAUGAUUUCCUUUAAAAAAACAAAAAA